rnacentral:hammerhead_ribozyme from 1 species
AUCCAGAUGAUGAGCCUUAGAUAAGACGAAAUGCGCAUCCUGUAU